GUGGGAAUUCUGUAGGAAGCUUCUCCCACGGCUAUAAAAGGACCCUAAGCUUUAGGAUUCCACACAACUCAUAAAUUAACUUACCAAGAGUCCCUAAAACCAAAAUCAAAUUCCCAAAAAACGAAAACUAUUUUCUCUUUGAAGUCUUGUUCUAGCCUUUCCAUUCUCCAAAAACAAAAAUCCAAUCCUUAUAAAUAGACUAGAAAAAUUAAAAAAAAAAAAAACCAUUGCUUAAAUCCACUUUCCAUAUUCCGAAACAUACUGAAAAACCCUUUCUUCGUAAUCCAAGUCGUCGAAGCAUUAGUCGAGGAAAGUUCUUUUACGGCAGAAUCGUGCUUAUCCGCCAAGUUUGUACUUUGAAGGAAAUAUCCGGGGUUGAUCAAAGAAGUUAAAUCCUUCGUCUAAUUUACAAUUUUCGGCCAUAAUGGAGGAUUUGGUCAAGACUGCUAGACUCUACUACAGUAAAAGCUCACCAGACAUCAAACAAGCAGCACACAAUUUUUUCACUUCACUCGACAACAACAACGACGGGAAGGUGAGUCUCCAUGAAUUUCUAUGGUUUAUGCGGCAGGAAGGCCACACGAAAAUGAGCAAUCGCCAUUUCGAUUACUGAAGUUGGUGCUACUUGAAUGUAACGAUAAUGCCAACUCUAUCUUGUACGGGUUAAGAGAAAUUGCUUUGAUAAUUGAACAAUAGAGAGCGAAAAUCUGAAGGGUGCAAUGCUCUUGAU